ensembl:antisense A930012L18Rik RIKEN cDNA A930012L18 gene
AAACCCGAGCUCCGGACCUCAGCAGUUCCUUACCUCGCUCAGCUCGGCUGAGGAGUCGUUGCCAUAUUUCACCGCAACUCCAGAAUUCAUGCCUGCACUUUUCAGAGCCGGGCUCGUCCCCAGACCUCGGAGCGUAGGAGCCGGGCUUAGGCUGGAUAGCCUGGGCUUGCUCCCCGCCGGCACAUUUCAGUCUAGACAGCCAUUUUCACCCAGGACAGCAGCGAGGCCAGAAAGGAUGGAGAAGCUCGAUACCGUAAGUCAGGCUGGAAUCUCACCAGCGAGCCAUAGCUGCAGGAGACUGGGCAGAGGGUUGCGCUCGCAGCAGCUGCAGCGGCCGAGCCGGCGCCGGGACCCACCCGCGCGUCCACCGCGGAGUCCCGGAGUGAUGCCACCCUCCGCGCCGCCUCGCCCCUCCUAUGGUACCACGCAGAUCCCCAUUACCCGGCAGGCGGGCAGUUCGCGCCGGCGCCCAGCAGAGCUCGGGUAUCCUCCGGGAGAAGCCUGGGCACCAGUGCGAGAACGAUAUGUGCCUCCGGUUCCCGGGAGGAAAGAGCUGGAGAGAGCCGGAGCUGAGCAGCACUUCACGCCGAAGUUUCCCCCUUUGAAUCGUCUGGAGUUAUUUCUUUAAAAUACAUCAGAUUCUUCUCCAUGGAGGGAAAACUGAUCGUGCAAAUUAGAGAUUUGGAAACCCCCGCAGGAAGAGUUUUUUAAAAGCUCUCUCUCUGCUUCCUGACCAUCAUGACAUGACCAGUCUCCUCUUCCUGCACAAGGUUCUGUUGCCAUGAUCUUCUGUCUUUCCCUGGGCUCAGAACCAGCAGAGCCCAUGAUCAUGGAUGGACUGGGAUCCCUGAAACAGGUCGUUUGGGCUGUUCUAAGCCUCUCGUGUUUCAACGUGAAUUUUGGAAUCAAGCUGCUGGUAUGCAAAGAGGCCAGAAUUUGGAGACAUUUACCUCUUAAUAUUAAGCCUGCUGACCCACAUAUGGGGGCUGUCUUUUCAUUUACUUGGGUCUUUGCUUCACUUGGGGUUUUAAACAGUUUUUUAUGUCUCUCAUUAAAUUUAUUACUACGUAUUUUAUUUCUCCUCCUCUUCCUCUUCCUUCUUCUUCCCCACCCCCUCUCUUAGUUUGUUUGUUUGUUUGUUUGUUUGUUUGUUUGUUUGUUUGUUUUUAGACAGGAUUUUUCUGUGUAGCGCUUGCUGUCCUAAACUCUCUCUGGCCUCAUCCUCAGAGAUCUGCCUGCCUCUGUUGCUUGAGGGUUGGAAUUAAAGGGGUGGGCCACCACCACCUGGCUUUUACUUUUUUUUUUAAUGAUCUAAUGUAAAUAGGCUUUAUUUAUUUAAUUUUCAGAUAAUUCAUUGCCAACAUAUAAAAAUCAACUAGUUUAUGUUAUGUUGAUUUUAUAUCCUGAAAUCUUCUCUAACUUUUUUUAUUUCUUAAUUGUCUGCAUGCAAGAUCUUCUGCAAAGAAAGUUAUGAGGAAUGAAGCUCUUUACAAACACUGCCAGACUCGUCAUAACCCUCGUAUAUGCAAGGCUACCAUGGCAGAGUCCUCUCAAAAGCUCACAUUGAAACUUAGCCCCCUCUGCAACAGCAGUAAGAAGUAUGGCUUUAGUGGAGCUCUGAAGUCACAAAUAAGAUUGCCGCCUAUUAUAUAAGAAGGCUUGGAAUUAAAGGGAAACUUUCUCCUUGUCUGCUUUUCCACUGUGUGGAUACAGCAUUUCUCCUCUUCAGAAGAUGUGGUAACAAGGUGGUCUUCGAUACACACCAAUCCUACAGGCAACUUGAUCUUGUACUUCCAAGUCUCGAGAACUCUGAGAAGAAAAUUUCUGUUCCUUAUAAGUCUCCCCGAUCUGUGGCAUUCUGUGACAGCAGUGUAUCUAAUGAUAGCACCUUUGGCUGGAGGGAGAGUUUGCAGAGAUGUUUUGCAUGUUAGAUUUUCCAUCACUGGGACAGAUACCAGAGAAACAAUUUAAAGGAGGAAAGAUUUAUUUUAGCUCAGGGUUUCCAUGGUUUAGUUCAAGCAUAAUGGCUCUGUGUAUCUGGGCUAUGGUUAGGCAGAAUACCAUGACAACAGAGAGCUCAUAGCAUUAUAACCAAGAGGCCAAGAGAGGUAAGGAAAGAGUCUCAGGGCCAGGUAUUCUCUUCAAAGGCAUGUCCCCAGUGAUGAAUCUUCUCCAACCAGGACACACACACACACACACACACACACACACACACACACUCCUGUAGCUGCCAGUCAGUGGAUUCUAGAGCCCUCACAAAUUACCCAGUUGUGAAUGAUUGGACCUACAGUAUAGAGACUAAAGCUUCAACAAACAAGCAUGGGGAGUUGUGCUUAAUAACUAAACCAAAAUAAACAUUUGAAC